CAGACCCUGUCUACUCAGCAGUGAAGACAGACAGACAGAGAUACAGGUAGAGCUGUAUCUGGAUCCAGGGACGUAAUGUACAGACUGAGUGACCCUGUUCAUCAGAACGUCAUGGUGGAUGGAAAAUAUGCUCUCUUCAGCAGCGGUGAAUAAC